UACGGGGGGGGCAAGCGUUGUGCGGAAUUACUGGGCGUAAAGGGCUCGUAGGCGGCCAACUAAGUCAGACGUGAAAUCCCUCGGCUUAACCGGGGAACUGCGUCUGAUACUGGAUGGCUUGAGAUUGGGAGAGGGAUGCGGAAUUCCAGGUGUAGCGGUGAAAUGCGUAGAUAUCUGGAGGAACACCGGUGGCGAAGGCGGCAUCCUGGACCAACACUGACGCUGAGGAGCGAAAGCCAGGGGAGCAAACGGG
rnacentral:rRNA from 1 species